rnacentral:tRNA from 1 species
GUGGGCGUAGCUCAGUUGGUAGAGCCCCGGUUUGUGGUACCGGUCGUCGUGGGUUCAAGUCCCAUCGCUCACCCCA